AGUGAACGCUGGCGGUAGGCCUAACACAUGCAAGUCGAACGGCAGCACAGUAAGAGCUUGCUCUUACGGGUGGCGAGUGGCGGACGGGUGAGGAAUACAUCGGAAUCUACUUUUUCGUGGGGGAUAACGUAGGGAAACUUACGCUAAUACCGCAUACGACCUACGGGUGAAAGCAGGGGAUCUUCGGACCUUGCGCGAUUGAAUGAGCCGAUGUCGGAUUAGCUAGUUGGCGGGGUAAAGGCCCACCAAGGCGACGAUCCGUAGCUGGUCUGAGAGGAUGAGCAGCCACACUGGAACUGAGACACGGUCCAGACUCCUACGGGAGGCAGCAGUGGGGAAUAUUGGACAAUGGGCGCAAGCCUGAUCCAGCCAUACCGCGUGGGUGAAGAAGGCCGUCGGGUUGUAAAGCCCUUUUGUUGGGAAAGAAAAGCAGCAGGUUAAUACCCCGCUGUUCUGACGGUACCCAAAGAAUAAGCACCGGCUAACUGCG
rnacentral:rRNA from 1 species